GCAAACUCAAGAGCCCUUGAUGUGGAGCCUCGCUUCUCAAAGUGUGGCUCUUGGACCACAGCAGCAGCAGCAUUACCUAGAAGCUUGUCAGAAAUGCAGAAUCCCAGGCUCUCGACCCACCCAGACCGACUGCAUCAAAGCCUGAACAUUAACAAGAUUCCCGGGAGACUCAUAUGCACAUUGCAGUUGGAGACGCAGUUGGAGAACUGAGCUGAAGCAGGGUUCCUCUGCCCUGCCGGCUGCUUGUUCUCUCCUUGUCCCUCCUCCCACAGCCUCCGGAAACCCCAUCUGGGGAGCUGUUCUGCAAAGCUGCACCUUAUCCACCUCCUGGAGCAAAACACGAGCUACCUGCCGGGGACUGUUCAGAGUGCUUCCUGCGAAGUCUCCCACUCAGAAGUCACAGCGAUCCUAGGAGGUAGAUCUAUUCCUGUGCCCGUUUUACAGACAAGGAAACUGAGGCAGAGUUUUGGUAACCGGACUUGCCUUUGGAACCCAGCCGCCAUGCUGUGAGGAAGCCCAGGAUAACCCACGUGGUGAGGCCAUGCAGACAGGUUGUGCAUGGGGUUCUAGCCAAGAGCCUGGCUGAGAUCUCAGCCAACAGUCAGCUGUGUGAGUGAAUGUGCCUUCGGAUGAUUCCAUUCCCUGGUUAUCAAGUCACCCCCAGCCUUUGUCUUCCCAGACAAGACCCUAGAAUGAGGCAGCAGAGAUAAGCUGUUCCCACCAUGCCCUGUUCAAAUUCCUGACCCAGACAACCCAUGGGCAUAAUCAAAUGGCUGUUUUAGGCCACAAAGUUUUGGGAGUGGUGUGUUAUGCAGCCAUAGAUUCUGGAACAAUCUCCCCGGAACCCCUCCAUUUCCCCACACACCUUUCCCUCCAUAGACAUAUUUGGAGUUCCCAGCAUGCUAUGGUGUUUCCCACAUUCUUCACCUUUGGCCAUGCUGUUCCCCUGCCUGGAGUACCCUUCCUUCAUUCUUCUGACACAUGUUUGAUCCAUCCCUUAAGACUUAGCUUAAACAGGCUGGGAGCCAGGAAGGCCUCACCUCCUCCUCUAGGAAGCCUCCCUUGACCUCCUGUGGCCAGGGCAAGUGCUCCUCUGCUUCCCUGGCCACGGGCUCACUUUACUGAUUUCUAUUUGUUGGCUUUGCUCACCAGGCUGUGUGCUCCUGGGUGGCAGGCCACAGGUCCUGUUUCUCCCAGGCAUCUUCAUCUCCUGUCCUGGCCAACCUGGAAGUGCUUAGAGAGGGCUUGUUUGACCGACUGGAGGGUGUGGAGGAUGGACACUAAUCCUGGGAGCCAGGGAUCCAUCCCUCGAGCUUGGAUCCUACCUCCCUGCCCACAUUCCCUGAGCUCUCAUUAUAGGGAAUCACUGUUGGCCCGAUGUGGACUGUGAAUGACCUGGGCCUCCAGACCUCAGUUUCGCCACCUGUGAAAUAAAAAUGUUGGAUGAGGA